GAGUGAAGGGAGGUGCUAGAGGCUGGAGGUCAUGACCCCUGGGGAGUAACAAACAGACAUCACAAAGAUGUACUUCUUCAAACGACAAGGAUCAACUGAGGGAGCGGGUAGGGCUGGAGGAUGAACAACGUCGGGAAGUAUCCAGAAAAUUCCCGCAAAGACAUCCAGGGAGAGGUUAGUGAGUGACUGUCCAAAUGAGGUCUGGUGACCCAUAAAAUUCUAAUUACACCGUGUAUAUGUGUGUUUAUAUAACAUCCGAGGUCAAACCAUAUGCUCAAAGUUCGAGCACCUGGCGUCCUAACAUCUGUGAGUAUAUUUAUCACACCAAUCACCAUGACAACUAAUGACAAGUUUUGGCUUGGUAUGGUCUCCAUGUGAAUAAACAAAUCGCCCCACUUCAGUGAGGGAUGGAAAAUACCUCAGCAGCACUGUAGUCUACAAAUAGCAAACUGCAUGAAUAUAUUUAACAGCUCGACUGCACCCAGAGUUGCGAAACAUUGUUGACAAUUGAUUUAAGUGAAAAAACUGUUUUGGCUAGGUUCAUCCUGAGCGUAACAUUUUGAUUUCACAUUUGAGGGACCCCUUGUACAAAUAAAGAAAUACAAAAACAAGAUCCAUGCUAUAUGGUUGUUGCUAGCUCCCUUUAGGGACUGAUGCUCGCUCCCUUUGGUGGCUUUAGCUAAAAAUUCCCUCAAAUUAUUACGGAAUCUUUUAUUUUUUAUAAUUAAAGUGUGCUUAAGAGUAUAGAAUUUGGCAGAACUUGGCAAAAACUAUUUAUAAUGUACGUACAUUUGAAUUAUGUAUAAUCCAAUGAAAAUAAGAAUCGUUGGGUUUUCGUAACCUAACAAUGAGCCCUAUAUAUCUACAUGGGGAGUGGGUCCUUUUCCACUGAGACCGCCAUGGUAAGUUUACAAUCAUAAUUGCUUCUCCAACGUCGUUGUAAAAGGGGAAGGGCGGUAUUUAGUUAGUAUUUGGUUGCAUUACCAACCUAACAGCUAGAUGCCACUAAAUCCCAAACACUUCACCUUUAACACGGCACAGUGGGCGCUUUUGAAGGCCAUAAUACUACCAUACAUGCUAGCUCUCUCACUUCUUCGGCUAAAUUUCAAUCAAUUGGUGGCAUGUUAUGCGGCCUCGCUGCGCUCCCCUUGACAAACAGGCGAUUUUCGAGUUGUACACCUUGACCUCAGCUUAAACUUCUAAAGCCAGCCGUCUUCCUCUUUCAUGCUCGCCGCUGCAAAAGAACUUGCGGGGUUAUUGGUGGUUCAGGCUUGAUAAGAAUCUCGAAAUGGAGUAGUUUGGCGAGGGGAAAGGUUACUGAGAGUUUAAAGAGAGUGCAGGCAGUCAUGGGGAGGAUAAAAAAAAAAAAAAGGGAAGUCGGGCUGAGGAACUGCGUUGGAUCUCCAAAGUGCAGCGUAAACAAAAAGUCCAGUGUUCAACGGCUGGACUUUGCGUUGAUGUGCCGGGCCAAAGGAAAGCUAGGACUUGAACUCCUCUUGACCUUUGGAGUAAUGCCUCACCAGUGCCUGUUCUUUUUUUCUGCUCUGGGCCCAAAACACCAAAACACCAUGAUGGAAUGGAUAACUCUAAGGUCCAUCUGCACCAACAGAUCCAGCUCUGCUAAUGGCUCUUUAAUGCCAUCUCUUCAGGGGGGGCCAGGCAAUACAAUAACAUGUUCCAUUUUGUUUUUCAGGGUCAUCCUUGGGCAUGCAUUCAGGGCACAUCUGUUGACCUCUGCGUGUCCUCCCUUCUCUAAAUGUCUUUCCUGCCUUUGUCUGGCCCUGUAGAGAACAGCAGUCGGCUGUGAAGGCCCUUUUAGAGGAAAAUACAGGACAUCCUCUGGCCCUAGUAUAAUAAUCACCAUCGUCUUUGAUUGCUCAAAGGCUUUCGGUCUUUUGAAUUUCUACUCUUUUUUUUCUUCCUCUGACCCACCCCGUCUCACCCCAACUCAUGUUUGUGUGCUCGAGCUCGACUAAAGAAGACCGAGAAUAUGUUCUGAGGGUGUUAUUUCUAUUAGCUCUAGACUUGAAAACGUAUAAUUGUGAAAUAUUAAUGUUGAAAUUAGAUAUAGAAUUGUUAAAUUUGUGUGGGGUCAUUUAGAUAAAUGUAUGUAAAUGUGUAUGUGUAUAAUGGGUAUACAUUAUUCUAUCAAUUUAUACAUUAUUAAGAAAUAUGCUAUAAUAUUCUAAUAUCUAUAAUAAGUACUACGUGUCAAUGAAAGAGCAAAAGAGUAGAAAAAAGAAACCACGUUAAUACUAGGUCAUGCAUUUUAGAACUUUAUUUUUGAGAUAUCAGUGCAAAUGAACACCAAAAAUGACAACAUAAAAAAUGAAAUUAGGUUUCAUUUCUUCACAUGGAAAAAUGAAACACCUUUUUUUUUCAAUUUGUUGCUACAAAUGUAUUUCUCAGAUGCACAAUGCAUGUCUAUGAUUGUACGUCAAUCCGCCAUAACAGCCCCAAGCCCAGGUCACAUCACAGAGCCUUUUCUUAACCAGUAACAGAAAAGAAAUAAAAGAAAGAUCACAAAAAUAUUCAAUGCACAUAUAUUUUCACACAUCUUCGUCAACUUGCUCAAUAGCCAUGUGGUUAUUUAGGGACUGUUCAUAUUCUAAACGAA